rnacentral:rRNA from 1 species
UACGUAGGGUGCGAGCGUUAAUCGGAAUUACUGGGCGUAAAGCGUGCGCAGGCGGUUUUGUAAGCCAGAUGUGAAAGCCCCGGGCUUAACCUGGGAAUGGCAUUUGGGACUGCAAGGCUUGAGCGUGGCAGAGGAGACUGGAAUUCCUGGUGUAGCAGUGAAAUGCGUAGAUAUCAGGAGGAAUACCGAUGGCGAAGGCAGUGUCCUGGCUGGCAACUGACGCUGAGGCGCGAAAGCUAGGGGAGCGAACAGG